AGUGAGGAAUUUUGCGCAAUGGGGGAAACCCUGACGCAGCAACGCCGCGUGAGUGAAGAAGGCCCUUGGGUCGUAAAGCUCUGUCAACUGGGAAGAAGUUGUUAUUGUUUAAUAAAUGAUAGCAUUGACGGUACCAGUGGAGGAAGCGCCGGCUAACUCCGUGCCAGCAGCCGCGGUAACACGGGGGGCGCAAGCGUUAUUCGGAAUUAUUGGGCGUAAAGGGCGCGUAGGCGGUUCUGUCGGUCAGAUGUGAAAGCCCGGGGCUCAACCCUGGAAGUGCAUUUGAAACAGCAGAACUUGAGUACGGGAGAGGAAAGCGGAAUUCCUGGUGUAGAGGUGAAAUUCGUAGAUAUCAGGAGGAACACCGAUGGCGAAGGCAGCUUUCUGGACCGAUACUGACGCUGAGGCGCGAAGGCGUGGGUAGCGAACAGGAUUAGAUACCCUGGUAGUCCACGCAGUAAACGAUGUUCACUAGGUGUAGCGGAUAUUAAAAUCUGCUGUGCCACAGCUAACGCAUUAAGUGAACCGCCUGGGAAGUACGGUCGCAAGACUA
rnacentral:rRNA from 1 species